UACGAGAAUAUAUGUACAUAUAUAAGAUAUUUGCUCGAAUAAAAAUCCUCCAAUGAGAAUGUGUAUUUAACUAUGCAUGAUCCUUAUGCAUGAAUUAUUAUUCUGAAAUAAUAAUUAGGGAAUUUCUAUUGUUAAUCCAGGCUAUUGGAUUUAAACAAAAGCUAAGUCUCGUCUCAUGAAGCCGGAUAAUUAAUAAAAAUUAAUCCGUUCUCUUAGGGUGUUCUAAUCCGCCAAUCAAAUAAACCCCAUUCCUCGUAGUCAAUAGAAAAUAAAUAAAUACUUCAACUUAUUCGCUUUAUAACCUCAUAAUUAAUCGAGCUUAACAAGUAAUGUUAUAAGAUUAAAUAAUUAAAAGGCUCAACAUAAGGCAGCCUAAUAAUUAAUUAAGUAGAAGUGGGCUUGAAUAAUUAACAUGAGAGGCCCAAUUGAAAUAACUCAUCGGCUCAAGUAAUUAAAUAAAUCUUGGCCAAAUAAAUAAAUACUUAACAGUUGGGCUAAUUUUAAAUCAAGUAUGCAAGACCCAACUGCAAUUAAAUAAAUAAGGCCCAACUGAAAUAAUCGUUCAACCCAUUCUACUCUAUUAACAUCGGCCCAAAUGAAACAAUAACCGGCCCAACAAUAUACAUAUGGAAUUUGGAAAUAGAUGUCUAUUAAUAAUAAUAUCUCAGCCCAAUUCUUAUAAAAUAGAUGGGCUUCAAUUAAAUAAAUCAAACGAGGCCCAACUAAGAUAAUAUAACAAAGGCCCAAUGAAUUAAACUAAAGCCCAAUUUGAAUUAAUAACAAAGGCCCGAUGAAUUAAACUAAAGCCCAAUUAAAAUAGAAUGCAGUUGGGCUUUUAUUAGUAAAUUCGGCCCAAAGAGAAAUAAUAAAGGCCCAUAUGAAAAUAAAUACAACAAGGCCCAAAGAAAAUAAAUAGGAGAUAAAAAUUUCGGCCCAAUUAUUUAAAUGAGUUCGGCCCAUAUAAAAUAAAUAAGGAGGCCCAAAAUAAAAUAAAUUCUGGCCCAAGAUAAUUAAACUUAGCCCAAAUAAUAAAAAAAAAGAAAGGCCCAAAUCCCCCUUAUCUCUCCCAGUCAAGCUCUCUCUCUUCUCAAAACAAUCGAGACCUCUCUCUCUCUAUUUCUUCCUCUCGCUCCGCCUCCAAUCGGCCUCAGCUGAGACGCCUGCCGCCACAACUCCGGAGCCCGGCGAGGUCGACGCUUCGCUGCUUCUCCUCGUCAACGUCAAUCCCUCAACGUCCUUCUUAUCCUCUCCAAAACAGAGCUGUCACUCUCCCUUAUUUGAAUCUGCCACCUCCACCUUCGAAAUCCGGCGAACGGGGGUCGAACCUCUUCCCUCACGUCCAUCUCUGCCUUCUUCGUUCUUCCUCUCUCAAGAUCUGUUCGUCUCUCUCUCUUCCCCGAAGUCACCGCCGUCGGAACUCGCCGGAGCGAGCGACGACAACCACUGCUCCUUGGUUCUCUCUUCUCUCUCGCUGAAACAGGCCCGACAUCUCUUCCUCCGCCGACCAGCCCCGCGUCCAGCCGCCGUCCACCCACUGCUCUCUCUGAAUCGACGGGCAGCAGGAGCACCUGGCCACCGCCGCCGUCGAUUUCCCGAGCCCCGACACCGCUGCUACUGGAAGAUCAGUGAAGAUCUGGUGCAACCGCCGCCGUCCGCCGACACGCCUGGAAGCUUUUUCGCCGGACCCCGCCUCUUCCGGAGACGCAGUCGUCGUGAGUCGCAGAGCUCCGACAGUCCACUACCACUCAACCUAAAGCUAAGUUCUCUAUUUUCAUUCUUCUUCUACUUCAAUAACUAGUUGUUAAGGGCAGAAUACUCAUGGUUUGUCGUUCUAAAGCGUAAAAUAACAGUGAAUGAAUCGACAUAGUUGUAAUGCCAUAGCUUGAACAUGUUGACAUGAAUGCUUGAUUGGAUUGAAAUUCGAGAUAGUAUAAUACCUUGAAUAUGAUCGAACUGAUUGAUGGCUGUUGGAGUUGAAUGAAUUGGAAUGACUGAACUUAUUGAUUCUGGCAGGGAGUGAAUGAGUGAUUUCUCUCACUUUUCGGUUGUGGUGUGGUGAAUGAACUGGAACUGAAAUAAAUUUGUGUUGUUGUCUCAGUGAUUGCAGGCUGAUUGCAGGCGGAUAAUGGAAGAAAAUGGAAGAUUAUAGCAAAGCUUACCUUAAGAAUUUGGCUGGACGAAAUGGAGACUUCCUGCUCUUUGAAGAGGACUCACGGUGAAAAUGAUAGGGAAUGUUUUGUUUCUUGGCUGGAGUUGUGCAAAUAGAGGGAGAUGUGAGUUAAGUGGGAGAGUUAUUGAAUUAGCUUGAUUUAGUUGCAUAAUUGCGUGGUGGGGAAAAGUUGGGGGACAAAUUUAAUGGAAAGAAAAAGAGAAGAAAAAGAAAGGAAAAAAAAAUGUAGAGGAGAAUUAUUGAUGUAUUUUCUCUGUCUCGGUGAUUCUAUAACUGUAAAGUGGAUCGCGUGCUCAUAUUUGCUUGUACUGUUUAUUUAAAUAAAUCCCAAUUUCGACAUGUGAUAUCUCGCUAAAAAUCGAUAAAUUAUAAAA